rnacentral:rRNA from 1 species
CCUACGGGAGGCUGCAGUGAGGAAUAUUGGUCAAUGGACGCAAGCCUGAACCAGCCAAGUAGCGUGCAGGAUGACUGCCCUACGGGUUGUAAACUUCUUUUAUAAAGGAAUAAAGUGAAGCACGUGUGCCUUUUUGUAUGUAUUUUAUGAAUAAUGAUCGGCUAACUCCGUGCCAGCAGCCGCGGUAAUACGGAGGAUCCGAGCGUUAUCCGGAUUUAUUGGGUUUAAAGGGAGCGUAGAUGGGUUGUUAAGUCAGUGGUGAAAGUUUGCGGCUCAACCGUAAAAUUGCAAUUGAUACUGGCAGCCUUGAGGAUAGUUGAGGUAGGCGGAAUUCGUGGUGUAGCGGUGAAAUGCUUAGAGAUCACGCAGAACUCCGAUUGCGAAGGCAGCCUACUAAACUGCAACUGACAUUGAUGCUCGAAAGUGUGGGUAUCAAACAGGAUUAGAUACCCGAGUAGUC